UCUUCGCUUCACUCACACACGCCAAUUCGAACUGAAGUUUCGUAUUUUCUCUCUCCUCUUCCUCUACCUCUACCUCCUACCUCGUGCUCGAAUUGCAGAAGCUCGUUUCAGAACUAGUUGGAUGCCUCGAAAACCACGAAGAAGUGGCCAGUUGGUACCUCGGCCUUUUGCAUUCUCUCCAUUUGCUCGCGCAGUCACUAGAGCUGCAACAGCUUUCUCAUCGAAGAACAAAGUUUCAAAUUCGAAAUGUGACAGAAUGUCUUCAUCCAAGUUAUUAGCUGAUGGGACUAGAAAGCACAGUUUGAGAGAAGAAGAUCCAGAAUUCGAAUCAUCUGGAGAAGAACAAGAGGCAUCUGAAGAAAUUGUCCAGGCAGAUUUUGCCUUUUUUGACCCAAAGUCUGAUGACUUUCAUGGAGUGAAGACAUUGCUACAGAGCUAUCUUGAUGAUACAGAGUGGGACUUGAGUGGUUUUGUAGACAUAAUUCUGGCGCAAACAACAGUUGGCACUGUAAUCAAGAUAGAGGAUGAUGAAGAUGAGGGAUUGUUUGCAGUUCUUACAGCUUUGAACUUGGGAAGAUAUAAGGAUUUGAAGUGUAUUACUGAAGUUAAAGACUACUUGCUUAAAGCAUGUGAGGAAAAGAGUUUAGUUGGUGAGCUAAAAGGACUCCUAGAAGACCAAGCCAAGCAUGUUGGUCUAGUUGUUUCCCAGCGUGUCAUGAAUCUUCCUCCCCAACUUCUGCCACAUUUUUACGAUGCCCUUUUUGAUGAAAUUUCAUGGGCUACAGAAGAUGAGCCAACAGAAGAUCUCCGUAAAUCAUUUCGCUUCAAACAUUACCUGCUGGUCACGAAAAUAUACAAGAGGAUUGCACAAACUAGGAAGGGAUCUACUAGUAGAAAUGACGAAGAUAUAAUAUAUGUAAAGCCAGAAGAUGAACUUUUCUAUGAGCUUUGUUCGUGGUCCUUUACUUUCCCCUUGCACAUUCAGCCGCCAACAACUCAAGAGUUGAGAAACUAUCGGCUCAUAGGACUGGUUAUGGCUGUAAAGGCGGAUAAAGCACCAGCAUUCCGACAAAAAUUGCGAUCUCUAAUAGACGACUCUUGAGAUCAAUCUUAGCCUACAGUUAGUACUUCAUGUGUUCCUCAAUAGUUGCAAGACUUGCAACCAAUGCACAACUUAAGCCAUCAGUAUCUUCAAAUAUUCAUUAGUAAAAUUUCUUAGAAGGUCCGUCGGGAGCAUGGUGAUGCCAGAACUGUUCUUCAGCAAACAGAUUAAAUACACAGGACAUCUUUCCUGUUAUUUCUUGUAUCCUUGGAUGAGUUUGCUGGAUGGUUGCUAUGCAUUUUUGCCGAAGUUUUUAGUCUUAUGUUACUUAAACAUUGACCCAUGAACGAUUUUGUUCAAUCACAAUUUUGUUUAUCCAAAUUUUCGCAUUUCUAUUUGUAAAAGCAUACACUUCUGUAGUUCUAUCACACAAAAGAGCAUGUAUCCUAUGAACUUUGUUUUGGUAAAAAAUGGUGUAAAAUUCUUGUA